UACGUAGGGGGCAAGCGUUGUCCGGAAUCAUUGGGCGUAAAGAGCGCGUAGGCGGUCCGGUAAGUCGGUUGUGAAAACUGGGGGCUCAACCCUCAGAGGCCGACCGAUACUGCUGGGCUAGAGUCCGGAAGAGGCGAGUGGAAUUCCUGGUGUAGCGGUGAAAUACGCAGAUAUCAGGAAGAACACCCGUGGCGAAAGCGGCUCUCUGGAACGGUACUGACGCUGAGACGCGAAAGCGUGGGGAGCGAACAGG
rnacentral:rRNA from 1 species